AUUGAACGCUGGCGGCAUGCUUUACACAUGCAAGUCGAACGGUAACAGGCCGCAAGGUGCUGUCGAGUGGCGAACGGGUGAGUAAUGCAUCGGAACGUGCCCAGUCGUGGGGGAUAACUACUCGAAAGAGUAGCUAAUACCGCAUACGAUCUAUGGAUGAAAGCGGGGGACCGUAAGGCCUCGCGCGAUUGGAGCGGCCGAUGUCAGAUUAGGUAGUUGGUGGGGUAAAGGCUCACCAAGCCAACGAUCUGUAGCUGGUCUGAGAGGACAACCAGCCACACUGGGACUGAGACACGGCCCAGACUCCUACGGGAGGCAGCAGUGGGGAAUUUUGGACAAUGGGCGCAAGCCUGAUCCAGCAAUGCCGCGUGCAGGAAGAAGGCCUUCGGGUUGUAAACUGCUUUUGUACGGAACGAAACGGCUCUGGUUAAUACCCGGGGCUAAUGACGGUACCGUAAGAAUAAGCACCGGCUAACUACGUG
rnacentral:rRNA from 1 species